UUAAACAGGGUGAGAAGCCUCCUGGCC
rnacentral:piRNA from 1 species